CAAACAGGUGCUGAAAAAUGUACAUUAUCAGAAAAUAAUCAAUAAAUGUGUUUUAAAGUUACACCGAUCAAAUUAAAUCCAAAUCAUGCACUGUUUUGUGAACUGUCAUCAAAAUGUCAAUUUCCUACAAUGACAAAAGAAAUUACAUUGUGUGCAUUUCGUCUCUAUACAUGUUGUCUGUUCAAAGUCCCCACCUAAAAAGGAAUAAAAAGACUAUCUUUUCGUUAUUAUAAACCCGUGUCACGUGAUGUGGCGCGCGCGCUGUACCUAAAAUAAAAUAAAAACUUUCCAAACUAAACAUGAAACUUCUCCGGUAACAAUAAUAUAGACCCCAUACAGAAACAAACAAACAAACAAACAAACAAACAAACAAAAACAAACAAACAAACAAACAAACAAACAAACAAACAAACAAACAAACAAACAAACACCCCCCCCCAAUUCAAUUAAUUUUAAAGGGGGAAAGACCCCCUACAAUUGCUUUUUUAAAGCAAUUGAUUUAUAUUUAUUAUUAUUAUUUUUUUUUUUUUUUUUUCUUCCGCCUAAUUUUGAUAUUGCGACAAAUGUUUGUUUCGCAAUAUGUCGCUUAGAUAUUUCUCAUAUUGUAUCGUACAGUUUAUGCGCUUUUACAUUUAACCCUGCUAAGCCGAACACUUUUCUUUGUAAGAGUUAUCUCCCUAUUCACUGUUUAUCAUCAGAGUGCAUCUCCUUUGUAACAAAAAAAGAUAGCGACAAAAUUCUUUUUACAAAUUGUUCGUUACAUCCUAAGGAAAAUUUGGCUUAUUUGGAUCGAAGCGAUUCGAUGAAAUUUUAUAGGAGUUAUCUACCUUUACAAAAUUAUUUUCUCAAUAUGUGUUAUUAACUAAUAAACCGUCAACCGUAUAACCCUGGAAUGUAUUUAUUUGAGAUCCCUAGGCCCUUUAUUAGAAAAUGGGGUCAAGGUCAAAGGUCAAGGUCAAGUUCUAAAUUCGGAAUUUUCCAUGUUUUUGCAUUUUCUCCAACCCUUGAAAAGGUACAUAUUAAAGAACAAGUGCAAAAUGAUUGCUAUAUAGUUAUGAAGAUAUGUUACAUUUGGUCUGAUACAAUUAAAUAGCAUCUAAUAGGAGUUAGUGCCCCUGAAAUGUCUUGAUAUGAGGUUAUUUGAUUAUAACUUCAACUAAGUGCAUUUUAAUGGCAUUUGACCUUGUGCAAAAGGUUGGAUGACAAAUGACCUUGAAAAAUGACUACCGGAAGUGACCUUGAGAAAACCGGAAGUAACCUUUUUUUGCAAUUUUUUCGUAUAAAAGUACUCAGAAUCCAUAUAUUUUGUCAUAUAGAUACAUAAACUGAUUACUGAAGACUAAAAAUGACUUCCAACAAACCGGAAGUGACCAUGUAUCUCCCAUUCUAAAUACAAAAGUAUAUAGAAACUAUAUAUUUUUGGAAUCAGUGUGAAAGAAGCUAUCAUAUUAGACCGGAAGUGACAUUCAUUUCACCGGAAGUAGCAUAUUAUCUCCUUUAUAUCACUUAAAAAUAUGAUUAAACCAUUAUUUAUCGUAUCAGUAUGAACAACUAUCUUCUUAUCAUCAAAUUUCUUUGAUAUGGAAAGACCUUCAAUUGUUCUCUGAACAAUUGGUUUUUAAUUAUUAUUAUUAUUAUUAUUUUUUUUUUUUUUUUUUUUUUUCUUCCGCCUAAUUUUGAUAUUGCGACAAAUGUUUGUUUCGCAAUAUGUCGCUUAGAUAUUUCUCAUAUUGUAUCGUACAGUUUAUGCGCUUUUACAUUUCACCCUGCUAAGCCGAACACUUUUCUUUGUAAGAGUUAUCUCCCUAUUCACUGUUUAUCAUCAGAGUGCAUCUCCUUCAUAACAAAAAAAGAUAGCGACAAAAUUCUUUUUACAAAUUGUUCGUUACAUCCUAAGGAAAAUUUGGCUUAUUUGGAUCGAAGCGAUUCGAUGAAAUUUUAUAGGAGUUAUCUACCUUUACAAAAUUAUUUUCUCAAUAUGUGUUAUUAACUAAUAAACCGUCAACCAUAUAACCCUGGAAUGUAUUUAUUUGAGAUCCCUAGGCCCUUUAUUAGAAAAUGGGGUCAAGGUCAAAGGUCAAGGUCAAGUUCUAAAUUCGGAAUUUUCCAUGUUUUUGCAUUUUCUCCAACCCUUGAAAAGGUAUAUAUUAAAGAACAAGUGCAAAAUGAUUGCUAUAUAGUUAUGAAGAUAUUUUACAUUUGGUCUGAUACAAUUAAAUAGCAUCUAAUAGGAGUUAGUGGCCCUGAAAUGUCUUGAUAUGAGGUUAUUUGAUUAUAACUUCAACUAAGUCCAUUUUAAUGGCAUUUGACCUUGUGCAAAAGUUUGGAUGACAAAUGCCCUUGAAAAAUGACUACCGGAAGUGACCUUGAGAAAACCGGAAGUAACCUUCUUUGCAAUUUUUUCGUAUAAAAGUACUCAAAAUCCAUAUAUUUUGUCAUAUAGAUACAUAAACUGAUUACUGAAGACUAAAAAUGACUUCCAACAAACCGGAAGUGACCAUGUAUCUCCCAUUCUAAAUACAAAAGUAUAUAGAAACUAUAUAUUUUUGGAAUCAGUGUGAAAGAAGCUGUCAUAUUAGACCGGAAGUGACAUUCAUUUCACCGGAAGUAGCAUAUUAUCUCCCUUAUAUCACUUAAAAAUAUGAUUAAACCAUUAUUUAUCGUAUCAGUAUGAACAACUAUCUUCUUAUCAAAAUUUCUUUGAUAUGGAAAGACCUUCAAUUGUUCUCUGAACAAUUGGUUUUUAAUUAUUAUUAUUAUUAUUAUU
rnacentral:lncRNA from 1 species